rnacentral:rRNA from 1 species
GUGAGGAAUAUUGGUCAAUGGGCGGGAGCCUGAACCAGCCAAGUCGCGUGAAGGAAGAAGGAUCUAUGGUUCGUAAACUUCUUUUGCAGGGGAAUAAAGUGCAGGACGUGUCCUGUUUUGUAUGUACCCUGAGAAUAAGGAUCGGCUAACUCCGUGCCAGCAGCCGCGGUAAUACGGAGGAUCCGAGCGUUAUCCGGAUUUAUUGGGUUUAAAGGGUGCGUAGGUGGUUUGAUAAGUCAGCGGUGAAAGUUUGCAGCUUAACUGUAAAAAUGCCGUUGAAACUGUCGGACUUGAGUGUAAAUGAGGUAGGCGGAAUGCGUGGUGUAGCGGUGAAAUGCAUAGAUAUCACGCAGAACUCCGAUUGCGAAGGCAGCUUACUAAGCUACAACUGACACUGAAGCACGAAAGCGUGGGUAUCAAACAGGAUUAGAAACCCUGGUAGUCC